AGAGUUUGAUCCUGGCUCAGGACGAACGCUGGCGGCGUGCUUAACACAUGCAAGUCACGGGGGCCCGCAAGGGCAACCGGCGAACGGGUGCGUAACACGUGAGCAACCUGCCGAAGUCUGGGGGAUAGCCGGCCCAACGGCCGGGUAAUACCGCAUAUUCUCUUUGGCCGGCAUCGGCUGGAGAGGAAACCUCCGGGGGACUUCGAGGGGCUCGCGGCCUAUCAGCUAGUUGGUGGGGUCAUGGCUCACCAAGGCGACGACGGGUAGCUGGUUUGAGAGGAUGGCCAGCCACAUUGGGACUGAGAUACGGCCCAGACUCCUACGGGAGGCAGCAGUGGGGAAUCUUGCGCAAUGGCCUAACGGCUGACGCAGCGACGCCGCGUGAGGGAUGAAGCUCUUCGGAGUGUAAACCUCUGCUGCCCGGGACGAAUAGCGGAUUUUUCCGACUUGACGGUACCGGGUGAGGAAGCACCGGCUAACUCCGUGCCAGCAGCCGCGGUAAUAC
rnacentral:rRNA from 1 species